rnacentral:rRNA from 1 species
UGAUAGUGCAGCCCAAAGUAGGUGGUAAACUCCAUGUUAGGGCUAUAGUGCAGCAAGAGACAGGUAGCGAACUAAGUACCGUGAGUAAAUAUUGAAAAGAGACUUUAAAGCGAGCGUUCAAUAGUACGUGAAGUUGCUCAGGGGUAAACGGAGAGAGACCAACAUAUUCGAAAGAGGAGAUCAGGGUCUCGGGUAGAACUCAGCUUUGAGCUGUAUUGAGAUGUUCUUUCGCCCUAUCGGGUAUUUUACUAUGAGUGGGGUUUUGGUCGAGAGCGGUUAAUUUUUGUCGAGAGUAAUGGUGUACCGCCAUUUUCUUUUAGUGGGACUUUGCCACGUGUUAAAUGAUGCUCUAAGUAUAAUUAAAAUGCCUGUUUUUUAAGUUUUACUGUAAAAAGUAUGCUUUUUUUAAAACAGUUUUAAUUAAUUAUAUACCGAGUAUUAUAAAUUUAACAGUAACAAAUGAUGGUGUUGAGCCACUUAAUUAAUAAGUGUGUUUGUCUUUUUACAAGUGUGUAGAUUUAUUGUGCUGUUCGGACUUUAUCGUCCGUCUUAUGAUGUCUCAUACUGUUCUAAAUUUUUAGACUUGCACAGUGCUUACAACACUGUCAGCAGCGAUCUA